rnacentral:rRNA from 1 species
GUUUGAUCCUGGCUCAGGACGAACGCUGGCGGCGUGCUUAACACAUGCAAGUCGAGCGGAAAGGCCCUUCGGGGUACUCGAGCGGCGAACGGGUGAGUAACACGUGAGCAAUCUGCCCUUAGCUUCGGGAUAGCCCCGGGAAACCGGGAUUAAUACCGAAUAUGACCUCGGCCGACAUCGGCCUUGGUGGAAAGUUUUUCGGCUAGGGAUGAACUCGCGGCCUAUCAGCUUGUUGGUGGGGUAAUGGCCUACCAAGGCGACGACGGGUAGCCGGCCUGAGAGGGCGACCGGCCACACUGGGACUGAGACACGGCCCAGACUCCUACGGGAGGCAGCAGUGGGGAAUAUUGCGCAAUGGGCGAAAGCCUGACGCAGCGACGCCGCGUGGGGGAUGAAGGCCUUCGGGUUGUAAACCCCUUUCAGCAGGGACGAAGCGAGAGUGACGGUACCUGCAGAAGAAGCGCCGGCUAACUACGUGCCAGCAGCCGCGGUAACACGUAGGGCGCAAGCGUUGUCCGGAAUUAUUGGGCGUAAAGAGCUCGUAGGUGGCCUGCUGCGUCCGCUGUGAAAACUCAGGGCUUAACCCUGAGCUUGCAGUGGAUACGGGCAGACUAGAGGUAGGUAGGGGAGAAUGGAAUUCCCGGUGUAGCGGUGAAAUGCGCAGAUAUCGGGAGGAACACCGGUGGCGAAGGCGGUUCUCUGGGCCUUACCUGACACUGAGGAGCGAAAGCGUGGGGAGCGAACAGGAUUAGAUACCCUGGUAGUCCACGCCGUAAACGUUGGGCGCUAGGUGUGGGGUCCUUCCACGGAUUCCGUGCCGCAGCUAACGCAUUAAGCGCCCCGCCUGGGGAGUACGGCCGC